CGGGAUCUUCGGAUCUAGCGGCGGACGGGUGAGUAACGCGUGGGAACGUACCCUCUUCUGCGGGAUAGCCACUGGAAACGGUGAGUAAUACCGCAUACGCCCUUCGGGGGAAAGAUUUAUCGGAGGAGGAUCGGCCCGCGUUGGAUUAGGUAGUUGGUGGGGUAAUGGCCUACCAAGCCUACGAUCCAUAGCUGGUUUUAGAGGAUGAUCAGCCACACUGGGACUGAGACACGGCCCAGACUCCUACGGGAGGCAGCAGUGGGGAAUCUUAGACAAUGGGCGCAAGCCUGAUCUAGCCAUGCCGCGUGAGUGACGAAGGCCUUAGGGUCGUAAAGCUCUUUCGCCAGAGAUGAUAAUGACAGUAUCUGGUAAAGAAACCCCGGCUAACUCCGUGCCAGCAGCCGCGGUAAUACGGAGGGGGUUAGCGUUGUUCGGAAUUACUGGGCGUAAAGCGCACGUAGGCGGAUUGGAAAGUAUGGGGUGAAAUCCCAGGGCUCAACCCUGGAACUGCCUCAUAAACUCCCAGUCUGGAGUUCGAGAGAGGUGAGUGGAAUUCCGAGUGUAGAGGUGAAAUUCGUAGAUAUUCGGAGGAACACCAGUGGCGAAGGCGGCUCACUGGCUCGAUACUGACGCUGAGGUGCGAAAGUGUGGGGAGCAAACAGGAUUAGAUACCCUGGUAGUCCACACCGUAAACGAUGAAUGCCAGUCGUCGGCAAGCAUGCUUGUCGGUGACACACCUAACGGAUUAAGCAUUCCGCCUGGGGAGUACGGUCGCAAGAUUAAAACUCAA
rnacentral:rRNA from 1 species